AUUGAACGCUGGCGGAAUGCUUUACACAUGCAAGUCGAACGGCAGCACGGACUUCGGUCUGGUGGCGAGUGGCGAACGGGUGAGUAAUGUAUCGGAACGUGCCCAGUCGUGGGGGAUAACGUAGUGAAAAUUACGCUAAUACCGCAUACGAUCUAUGGAUGAAAGCGGGGGAUCGCAAGACCUCGCGCGAUUGGAGCGGCCGAUAUCAGAUUAGGUAGUUGGUGGGGUAAAGGCCCACCAAGCCAACGAUCUGUAGCUGGGCUGAGAGGACGACCAGCCACACUGGAACUGAGACACGGUCCAGACUCCUACGGGAGGCAGCAGUGGGGAAUAUUGGACAAUGGGCGAAAGCCUGAUCCAGCCAUACCGCGUGCAGGAUGAAGGCCCUCGGGUUGUAAACUGCUUUUGUACAGAAAGAAAAGGUUUCUACUAAUACUAGGAGCUCAUGACGGUACUGUAAGAAUAAGCACCGGCUAACUACGUGCCAGCCGCCGCAGUAA
rnacentral:rRNA from 1 species